UCCCUCUUCAAAUGUGCAGGGUUUUCAGUGCCUGCCACAGGCUGAGCUGAGCUCUGGUUCUAUAAACAAGCAGAGUGGGGGGGCGGGGGACACCAGGCUCUGAGGGUUUUAGGUUAUCUGCACUUCAUGGCUCCUCCCCUCGUGGGGAUGAUUGACAGGAAGACAUUGGACUGGAGAUCGUUUCACAGGGUUCAGAGUCAGAAGCCUGGCAGAGCAGGGAACCUGGAAGAAAUCUCAUAUGGUCAUGAGGAAUUUCACCAGCCAUAGCAGAUCCUGGUUGCCAGCUUGACUGGAGCUGAAGCCAACUAAGAAUACACCUCUGGGUCAGUGCAUCUGCCUUGUUGCUGCUGCUGUCCUUCACAGACAUCACAAUCUACGUUCUCCAGCUUUCCAGUGUGGGUCAAUGGCUCUGGAGGAAUCCUCCAGGCCUUCUGUGCCCGAGUGUGGCUGCGGAGACAUCCAGCCUCAUGGACUGAACAGAUGCAGGGUUCUCAGCCUUUCCAAUGUGAAGGCAGACAUUGUCAGACCGCCUCGACCAUACCCAGUUGAGUAUUUUCCUUUUGUAACAUGUAUCAUCCUAUCAAUUUUUGUUCCUCUAGAGAAGACACCAGCCCUCCUGGUGUGAUGUUGGCUGUUUGUCUUUCCUGUCUAGUGGCAAACUAUCCUGAAGUCACCAAAGACAGUGGGCUAUUUCUGGCCAGGACCUGCUUAGGCCUGGGAAUAACACACAGUCAACCUUGGGGAUAUCCACUCUCAGUGGCUGUGAAUCUGUCCCGCUGUAUUGCCUCCUCCGUUUCCCAGGACACACGGCCCUGUGCCUUAGGCAGAGGAUGCAGAUGUGCAUCCUUCCUUCUCCACAGCAGCACGGCAGCAGAGCUGCUCUCAGAACUGACCAGAGGAUCUCUCAAACGACAGCACCAUCCCGUCCUGCCUUGGGGUUUGGCUAGCACGAGCCAACCCCACCUGCACCCCGGAAUGAGAAUAGGCAGACAUCACAGUGCAGCUUCGAAAGGCAGAAUCCAGCUGGCUAUCCCCUUUCACCGUCCACCUGCAUGCAGCAGCGGCCCCCAUGCCACUCUGGCCCCGGAGAUAAGGUCCAAGGACAAUAAUUACGCUGGCAGCAUCCAGCUGCCGGAGGAAUGUGUCGAGCGCUGUAAGGCUGGUCUGAGCCUUGUUCCCUGUCCUCCCAGCAGGAUCGUGCUACUGUUUGUACAUACAUACUUCACCCUCAUGAAUAAUGUUCCCAUUCAAAUCUGUCAUGGCAGACAGUGUAUUCUGGAAGCCACUUCAUGGCAAAGGUGAGUGGUUUGCCGAGCGCACAUGUGUUUUCAGAUGCCUGCUUCCCACUGGUUGUGCAAAUGGCACCCGCGGUGUCCGGUCUCUGCCUCAUUGUCACCGCGUUAUCCCUUUAACAGGCAUGGCGGGCGCUCCCUGCGCCCAGCAUGCCAGAGAAUGAAUAGAAACAGAAUGUUUCUGCCAAGUUGGGUUUUCAUUUGAGCAGAGUGAGCAGGAGAAGAAACAAACAGUAGGGAAGAUGUACAACUCACACUGAGGUGAGACCGUGGCGAAACUGGGCCAGAUGUCUUUGUUGUGAGGCCUUCAGAUACCUCCCACAGACAGCGGCCGCACGGAGGGAGGCCAUUGUGGGGUGAACUUGAAGGACUUUCCCCCCCUGUAAUAAGGCUAGCACUCUAUUUGGGACAUGCCUCCUAAAACAGGACACUGGUCCUGCUCCACGCCGCCUGGCUCGUCUAUCACGACCCUAACCUCCAACCUCGGCUCCCUUCGGUCUGCGGCACAAGUCCUAUCAUUAAACCAGAAGAGCUCUUUAUGCCCC